AACGAACGCUGGCGGCAUGCCUAACACAUGCAAGUCGAACGGGGUUUUCGGACCUAGCGGCGGACGGGUGAGUAAUGCGUAGGAAGCUGCCCGAUAGAGGGGGAUACCAGUUGGAAACGACUGUUAAUACCGCAUAAUGUCUACGGACCAAAGUGUGGGACCUUCGGGCCGACAUGCUGUCGGAUGCGCCUACGUGGGAUUAGCUAGUUGGUGAGGUAAUGGCUCACCAAGGCGACGAUCCCUAGCUGGUUUGAGAGGAUGAUCAGCCACACUGGAACUGAGACACGGUCCAGACUCCUACGGGAGGCAGCAGUGGGGAA
rnacentral:rRNA from 1 species